GUAGGUGGCAAGCGUUGUCCGGAAUUAUUGGGCGUAAAGCGCGCGCAGGCGGUUCUUUAAGUCUGAUGUGAAAGCCCACGGCUCAACCGUGGAGGGUCAUUGGAAACUGGGGGACUUGAGUACAGAAGAGGAAAGCGGAAUUCCAAGUGUAGCGGUGAAAUGCGUAGAGAUUUGGAGGAACACCAGUGGCGAAGGCGGCUUUCUGGUCUGUAACUGACGCUGAGGCGCGAAAGCGUGGGGAGCAAACAGGAUUAGAUACCCUGGUAGUCCACGCCGUAAACGAUGAGUGCUAAGUGUUAGGGGGUUUCCCGCCCCCUUAGUGCUGCAGCUAACGCAUUAAGCACUCCGCCUGGGGAGUACGGCCGCAAGGCUG
rnacentral:rRNA from 1 species